AAUAUUCUUUACACGUCAGCAAUCCUAGAUCGGGAUAACAUUAUUCCUGCAAUCCAAGAUCCGAACAGAGUUAAACCGGGUUAUACCCACCCAUUUGAAUUAAUUGUUGAAUUAUGGCUCAAAUCUUCAACAUUAUCUUCAAAAAUCCCCUCCAAAAAUGUAUAUAUAGAUUAUC
rnacentral:sRNA from 1 species